UGUUCCCUUCAUAGAAGAAAAAGAAGAAGCAGCAGCAGCAUAAAUAUCAGUGCAGUUGCUACACUUCUUUGUCAAAUAUUUAGAGGUUUGAGGAGAUCGAGAUGGCUUUGAGCGCUUCAUCCAGGAAGGAAAGACUCUACAAACUGGUCGCUGUAAGCGUUGGACUACUUUGUAUUCUGCAGGCUGCAGCAAACAUCGGACUGCGUCUUUCUCUUUGUGAGUGAUUGUACAUCUCUUAUUUUACCCUGUGAUUCCUGUGAAAUGGUUGCACUGCCAACGGGAAGCCGGAUUUGGAGGAAAUUAUCAAGAAUUUGACUGAAAAAGAAGAAGAUUUAAAAGGGAAGCUGAGUAACUGUGAUGGUUGCACUGCAAGGAAGCUUGAGUUGGAGGCAAUUCUAAAGAAUUUGACUGAAAAUGGAGAAUAUUUAAAAGAGAAGCUGAGUAACUUUGAUCACUACCUCAAACAGGGAUGGGUGUAUUUUGACCAGAGUUUCUAUUACAUUUCUUCUUCUCAAAUGUCCUGGCAAGACAGCAGAGACGACUGUCUGCAAAACGGUUCCAACCUGAUAAUAAUCACCAGCAAAGAAGAGCAGGACUUUGCAAGACAAUUCAAAAAACGCAGCUGGAUUGGACUGACUGACACGGAGACAGAAGGGACAUGGAAAUGGGUCGAUGGGACUGAACCGAAAGAAAGGUACUGGACAACUGGGGAGCCCAACAGCUACCAAGGUUCCAAUGAAGACUGUGGAGAAAUUAGGUUCUAUGAAGAACAACAUAACUGGAAUGAUUUAGAAUGUAGUUACAAAAACUUCUGGAUCUGUGAAAAGGCUUUGGCUCAAUAACUUAUCCACUGUAUCCAAACCCACCAGACUCAUAAAAAUCAUUAAUCAGUUCAUGAUUGACACAAACAUGUCACUGUAAUAAAAGCACCGAUGUGAAAAAUAACAUUAAUAGUGGCUGAUUUCCCUUUGGCUGCUUCACAUUUAGAGAUUCCAUGGUGGUGCAUGAAAUACUUAAUAUUGUACAUGUAGUAUGAACCGUAAAACCUCUGCUUUAUAUUUUACAUUAAGUCUCAUUUUAUUUCCCCACGCAAAUAUCAGCAGUGCUACACAAACACGCAUUAUGUUUUGUUAAUUGUUUAAGGUCUUGGUAGGAUGUAACCUAUCCCAGUAUGAAAAUAAAUAAAUAAAUCAA